GAGUUGCUGUGGUUGCUGCAGAAGUGGAUUGGAAUUGAGGUUGCGGCUGCCAAGGUUACAGACAGAGAAGAAGGGGUUUUGACGCGCUGUAUAGCUUUCGAGUUUCGACGAGUUGGGGAGACGGAUGACGAGGCUUAUGAAGAGUUUUAUUGCGUUUUGUUUAUUCGAUGUUAUUGUUUUAGUUAUUAUUUAUUUACCCCUCUCU